CUCACAUCUUUCAUCUGGACGGUGGCUCAGAAGGCUACUCCAGACACCCACCGUUAGGUCCCACAUCCUUCUUCCAAGCCGUGUGCGGCCUGGCCUAGCACGACCCAUCCCAUCUCCUCCACUGCUCCUCAGGGUCCACAUUAUCCCGUCCGGUUCUCUGGCGUGACAGGUGGAGAAACCGAGGCCCGGAGUUGGAAGGAACUUCCCCCACGGUCCUGGACACUUUGGAUCUGCGUUAUUCGCCCAAUCCCCUCUGCAACCCUGGAGUCUCGCUAAGUCACUAAGUUGCCCAGGCUGGGCUGGAACCUGUGAUCCUCCUGCGUCAGCCUCCCAGAGUGCUGGGAUUACAGGAUCUAUGUAGUCCAGGCUGGCCCCAAACUCGAGGGGCCUCAGCCUCCCGAGUGCUGGGAUGACAGGUGUGCGCCACCACGGCAGCUGAACAACUCCGGACAGAAUUCCAAGGGGCACAAAGCAGCCACUUCUAGCCCGGAACCCCUGGUGUACGCACAGGGCUUUGCACGUCCGGAUAGACAAACUCCAGGAGUGACUCCAGGAGCGAUGUCAUGCACUCCUCUGCCGUCUGGUGGUGCUCUCGGGAGCCGCCGGAAGCACAGGGCCUGCCAGUAUCGUGCAGGACAUGCAACACCCCUGGGACCAUCUGGAACGCCCCACAUUUCCAACCCCUCGAGGUGGCGUCCCGCCCGCGGGGGAGUUGCCCAAAGCCCACCUUUCUGCUGACCACCCAGGCGACCCUGCCCUUCCUCAGUCCCAGCAGACACCAGCCACCGCCUGGAGUGUCCCCGGACCACUGCAACAGCCGUUCUUCCAACGGGUCACCAGGGGGCGUCCUGAGACCAGGUUCUGCACAGCCGCGGGCUUGAAAUUAACUGCGAAUGAGGAGAGGACCCCGCAGUGGGCAGAACCAUGCUCUGGGGAAGCCAUCAGCCAGUGUUUGUCCAGCUUCUUCCCCACCCAGUGUUGCUUAAUGCAGGGGUCAGAGCGUCAUCAGGCCAGGUGACCUUUGGUACAGGCCAGUCACUCCAUGUGGCCUCGUGGUGCCAGUGAGGGUUGUAAACAACAGGUGUGGGAGGCCGCUGUGGGCUAACAGCACACUGCUUUACAGCGAGCUUUCUGAAAACAACAGCAUACUCAGCCAGGUAUGAGGAUCCUGGAAGGCUGAGGCAGGAGGAUCACAAGUUCAACCCCAACUUAAUUUAGCAAAACCCUGUCCUGAAAUAAAAUUAGAUAACAGUUUGAGGAAUUUAUUCUGUACCUCCAUCCUGGGUACUUUCCAUGAAAGUUUUUUUUUUCUUGUUUUGUUUUGUUUUGUUUUGUUUUGUUGAGAUAAGGUCUUGCUAUGUAGCCCAGACUGGCCUCAGACUUAGAGAGAUCCUCCUGCCUCAGCCUCCCACGUGCUGGGAUUGCAGGUAUGCACCACCACACCCAGCCACGAACUCACUACUUUCAUCUUCACCAGUAACAGUAUGAGGCAGGCACCAUUAGGUGAUGAGCCAUUUGGCCGGGAAACUGAGGCACAGAAAGCUCUGUAACCUGCCUGGAGGUGCAGGGCUGACAAGCAGCAGAGAACUGCUGAACGGUGUCCUGGAAGGGAGUCCUGCUGGCAGGCAGGAUUUAGCCACCCUGUACUGCAAGAAAACAAGCAGCAAAAAUGCCAGCCCUCCAGAGACCCCUAAGGGAUGAUGCUGAAAACAUCCACAAGAAAGGAGCAGAGCCUGCCAGACGCAUUUCUCUGCAGGACCUGAGCCCGGGUGCGUUCUUGGGGUCAAAGAGCAUGCAGCGGUUGGGGGGACAGAGCUGAUAUGUGAGCCCUGUGUCCCCGGGUCCAGCUGCAAAUGACCACGGGAGACCUCCACAGG
rnacentral:lncRNA from 1 species